AUUGGAGAAGAGGGCUUCUUACCAAAAUGACUUCCACACAUUCCCCUUUUGUCCAGGAAGAUUUCCAUCUCUGAUGCAUGCUGAAUAGCUUACUCACAACAUGAGAGGCAACUAGGUGUUGUGGUGGAUAGCUAAGAGUCCCUAGACCUGGUGCUGGAAGGCAGUAAGAAGCUCCCAGCUCUCAGAUUACCUGAGCACAAGCCUCAGUGAGGAAGUUGGCUCUAUCAAGAACCUUGACUUAAGCACCAACCGCAUGUAGAAAGAACUGUGGCAAGUACUGGGGGAAAGACAGCAUUCCAAUUAGACACAAGGUAAGGAGCAGCUUCCAAAGAGAUUCCUGAAAGGGCAGGGGUAUCCAACUUUU